rnacentral:rRNA from 1 species
GAAGUAUGGUUCGCAAAGGCUUGAAACUUAAAGGAAUUGACGGAAAGGGCACCACCAGGCGUGAAGCNUGCGGGCUUUAAUUUUGACUCAACACGGGAAAACUUACCAGGUCCAGACACGGGAAGGAUUGACAGAUUGAGAGCUCUUUCUUGAUUCUGUGGGUGGUGGUGCAUGGCCGUUCUUAGUUGGUGGGUUGCCUUGUCAGGUUGAUUCCGGUAACGAACGAGACCUCAGCCUGCUAAAUAGUCAGCUUCGCAUCUGCGGAGCGCAGACUUCUUAGAGGGACUAUUGGCGUUUAGCCAAUGGAAGUAUGAGGCGAUAACAGGUCUGUGAUGCCCUUAGAUGUUCUGGGCCGCACGCGCGCUACACUGACGCGAUCAACGAGCCUAUCCUUGACCGAGAGGUCCGGGUAAUCUUUGAAACCGCGUCGUGAUGGGGAUAGAUUAUUGCAAUUAUUAGUCUUCAACGAGGAAUGCCUAGUAAGCGCGAGUCAUCAGCUCGCGUUGAUUACGUCCCUGCCCUUUGUACACACCGCCCGUCGCUCCUACCGAUUGGGUGUGCUGGUGAAAUGCUCGGAUUGGUUUCAGGUGGGGCAACCUGGCUGAGACUGAGAAGUUCAUUAAACCCUCCCACCUAGAGGAAGGAGAAGUCGUAACAAGGU